AUGCAGAGUGUGUGCAUUAUAUACACACACUCUGUAUAUAAUGCAGAGUGUGUGUAUAUAAUGCACACACUCUGCAUUUU
rnacentral:miRNA from 1 species